rnacentral:lncRNA from 1 species
ACGUGUCCAUGCUUAUGCUAGGCUGCUUGGAUGCCAUGAUAAGCUUUACUAUAUGUUCGCAUGGUGGACUAGAUGAUUGAUUCAAUCGUUUUAAUUAAGAAUCUACUCACUGUACAAGCCAUGGAGGAAUAUAUUAUCAGUAUGAUACACUGUGGUCCGCAACCUCAUCUUUUGUGCUGCCUUCUGCCUGCCCUCACUCUAUGAGUCUAUGUCUCGCAAUGUUCUUUCCGUGUGUGCAAAUUGCGAGCGUAAAACUGACGCACACCAUGCCGGGGCACGUUUAGAGCUAGUAUAAUGAAGUGGUGUACACGGGCUAUAAAGUUGCCGCGUCACAUUUAUGGUGAGUUGAAGAAGAAGGAAGAUAAACAAGCCUUGUGCCCAGCUGCAGCAUGGGUUUCAAGAAGCUUUGUGAGAAGUGGGACAAGGCGACAAGCAUUAUUGCAUUAAUAACUCAGUAUGUACCACCAUCCUUUUUGUUUACUCUGCAUAUAUACUAGCUUUGUCCCAAGUUAAACUUGAUAAACAUCUACAUCACCAAAUUAAUAUCAUUAGAUUCCUCGCCUCUCUCCUCUUCGACUUUGGACUUAGAAUUCCAUUUUGAGCCUGCCAAAGCCGGGAAGGUGGUGCAGGGAAGUUGGCGGUGAUGCAUGAGUUGAUAUUGCACGGCCGAUCCACACAAUGUAUGAUAUCCUUGUCGCAUUGCUGAUAUGGACACCGUUGACAUCAAAACUAACAUGGUUAUAGUCGAGGUCAUAGUUUUGCUUGACUGUGCCGCACUCAACUGCAGCAUAUUCAUUCAUCACAUCAUCAUCGGUGGAUGCGUUGGUGGGGCCAACGUAGCCUGGCUACUAGGUCGUGGGUCACAAUCGCCAGAUGCAUGUGAUGAUGAACCAAUGUCGGCCCUUGCAUUAUAAAGGCCCUAGUGCGAAUGAGAUACAAUGGGCAUAAGUACUAAGAGAAUAAUAUAAAUAAUUUUAGUGGUAUAUAUCGCAUAUAUCUCAUGAAAAUAUAAAGGCAUAAAUGUAAAGUCCUUUUAUAACUACCAAAUGUUCGUAUUUAUGCAAUAGAUAAGAAUGGUUCUUACUUUACUCUAAUUAUAUGCAUGCAUGCAUUAAAAUGAUUAAUUUUCCUUUCACGUGCACUCCUCCGUUAAUUACAUGCAUAUAUGCACUCGAGGAUGAAAAGUUGAUGUCAUCCUAAAUUCUUUUUUUAAACUUCAAAAUAUUUUAUAUCUCAAACCGUCACUUUGAUUAAAAAUUGUCUUUAUUAAAAAACCCUGUCUCGACGAUAUAUUCGAAACUAGAUCCCAUGUUGAUACAGUGACAAAGCUGCCUCCUAGGCAUUGGUGUCAACUGUCUUUCAUUAAUUUAAUACUAAACACUAUCUAUUUAUUAAAGAUGACCCCACUAUCAUAGACAUGACAUCAGCAAACAUUUUCUCUAGCUUCGUCCUUGUGUUGAUAUGUUGAUGAUUUUUUUUGGAUCAAAAAGUUACCACAUCUGGGCUAUGCAAGUUAUCACGCCUGCCAUACAUAAGUUACCAUGUCCUUUACACACAAGUUACCGGGGUAUGUUUUGAACAAACUUUUAUCCCAGGGUUAAAAAGUGAUUAUGUUGUUUGCAGUGAGUUAUUAAGUUCGUUGUGUAUAUUAACACGUUGCCCAAAAGUUAUCGAGUUAUGUUUUUUAACAAUUUUCAUUUCCUUGGUCAAAGAAUUGGCACGAUAUUUGUAUACAAGUUAUGAGCUCUCAUGUGUUUGUAUUAUUAUGUUGUUUACACACGAGUUAUUGGGAGGUGUUUUUUAACAACAUUUUUCACUGGUAAGAUACCACAUCUCGAUUGAAUAAGUUAUCAACUCUGUUGUAUGUAUAUUACCAUGUUAUUCACACACAAGUUAUUAGUAUUUGUUUUUGGACAAACUUCUAUCACGGGGUCAAAAGUUACACUGAGGUUUGUAGUGAGUUAUCAACUUUAUUGUGUGUAUAAUACCGCGGUAUUUGCACAAAAAGUAUCAGGAAUAUGUUUUUCAAUCCCCCCACCACCCCGUGGUUCACCUAAAUAUGCAGUGCUUGAUUACCAUGAUAUCUAUGCAAACGUUAUCGAGGUUAUAUCUUUGAACAAUUUUUCCUAAGGGUCCAACCGUCCAAGUUAUUAUGGUGUUUGUACCAAAGUUAUCAUGUAUAUGAUGCGUUACCACCAUGAUGUUUGUACAAAAAGUUACCGGGGUAUAUUUUUGACAACCUUUUCCCUUUAGGUGAAAGUUAGAGCAUUCAAAAUAUUUUAUGGCUCAACCCAUCAGUUCGAUUGAAAAAACAUUUUCACAUAAAAAUAUGUCAUGACAAUACCUUCAAAACUAGUUCCUAUGUUGGUAUAAAUCGAUGAUUUUUUUGGGGUAAAAAAUUAUCGGAUCUGGAUUAUUUAAGUUGUCGGUUAUGUUGUGCCUAUAUUAUCAUGUUAUUUAUACAUAAUUUAUCGGGCUGUGUUUUUCCACAAAUUUUCUCCUAGGUCCAAAAAAUUAUCACGGUGUUUGUACGUAAGUUAUCAUGCCUGUUGUCUGCAUAUUCACAUACUAUUUACACAUAAAUUAGCGGAUAUGUUUUUCGACAACUUUUUUCUCCGGUCCAAAAGUUACCGUAGUGUUUGUUUUUCAACAACUUUUAUCCCGGGGUCCAAAAAGUUACCGCGAUGUUUGUGCAUGAGUUAUGUGUUAUAACUUCCCUUUUUUAGUAUAAUAGUUACCGUGGGUGUUUGUAAUUGAGUUAUCAAGUGUAUGGUGUGUUUAUUAUCAUAUUAUUUUCAUAGAAGUUAUCGGGGUAUGGCUUCAACAACUAUUUUUUGGGGGUCAAAGUUAUCGGAGUAUUUGUGCGUAAGUUAUCACACUUGAUGUAUGUGUGUAUAUUACCGUUCUUAUUACACAUAAUUUAUUGGGGUUAUGUUUUCAACAACUUCUUUUCCGGGGUCAAAUAAGUACUUGAGUUAUCUGCUCUCCAUUGCAUAUAUUACCAUAUUAUUUAAACAGAAGCUAUCGGUGUAUGUUUUAAAAACUACCCCCCCCCCCACCACCACCACCCCGAUCGAAGUUACCGCAGUUUUUGUACCAAAGUUAUGAGAUCUAUGAUGUAUAUAUUGCCAUACUAUUUACACAAAAUUUAUCGGUCUAUGUUUUUAACAAUUUUUCCCAAGUCAAAGUUAUCGUUGUGUUUGUACGUAAGAUAUCGGGUCUUCGGUGCAUAUAUUAUCAUGCUAUUUACACAGAAUUUAUCGAGGAUGUUUUCAACAACUUUUCUUUACGGGUCAAAAGUUAUCAUGGUGUAUGUACAAAAGUUAUAUAUCAUCUAUAUAGUGUGUAGAUUACCAUGCUAUACACAGAGUUUACGGCAGGUUGAUUUCAGCAACUUUUCUUCACGGGUCAAAAUUUACGACAUGAAAAAGUUACCGCGAUGUUGGUAUGCGAAUAAUCAAGUCCGCGGGUGUAUAUUACCAUGUUUUUGCGCAGAAGUUACCAUGGUAUGUUUUUAACAACUUUUUCGUCGGGUCGAAAUUACCGCUGUGUUUGUACGUAAGUUACCAGAUCUAUGGUGUGUAUGUUACCAUAUAUUUACAUACAAUUUACCGAGGUUUGCUUUAAACAAAAUUUCCCUCAUGUUAGAAGUUAUCAUGGUGUUUGUCCGUAACUUAUGAGAUCCGCGAUGCUUAAAUUACCAUAUUAUUUACACACAUACUUUUCAAGCUAGGAGGAAUGCAAUCAUUUAAGUUAGCAAUAGUUUCUUGUUGUUGCACGGUAAACUUGGCCCGGUAAUUAACAAGGUCAAAUAGAAUGACUCCUAAUAAUUAUACAAACGAGGAUAUGGGAUGAGUUGGUUAGAGUGGUGAAUCCUCCUGUUAUGAGAACGUAUUUCAAAACCUAUGAAAAGUUUAUCGAAAACACCGAUUUUCAGUAAUCACAUUGCCAAAUGCACUAACCGAUCGACUAAGAGUUGUUUGAUGCAAACUAUGACAGGCAGGCCCCGCUUUCAGGACCGACGUGGCACAAAUUAAACGCCGUCGGCUAAAAAGUUAAGUUAACAAAAGGGCCCACCCGUGGCGGGGGCGGCUGCAGGUCCACCCGUGGCGCUCGGGACGGGUCCGUCCAAAUCAACUUGCAGGAGGACGUAGAGGAGGAGGGUGAUGUUUCUGGACAUGGCUACAAGGUCGACGGAGGCAUUAGCCGCAUGGUCUAUGGUGGUCGUCCUCACGCGAAGCUCUCUCGCUGGACGGCGGGGCUUCGACGGGGGCGGUUGCCGGUCCACCCAUGGUGAGGGAUCAAGGCGCUAGCUCGUGGGGAGAUAGCAGAAACGUUGACCGUCUCGGUCUAGCCGGACCAGGUCAAUGUCGCCACAUUAACGACCACAUGGCCAUGACUGGUGGGCCUAGGAUGUCAGGUUCGUGUCAAAAUGCGGUCAAUCGACUAGUUAGUUCUUUUUGCAAUGUGAUUACUGAAAAUUAAUGUUUUCGAUAAACUUUUAUGAAAACGGUGUUUUUUCGCACCAAACGACGUAAUUGUGGUGGUUUUUUGGUAAUUUACUCAGUUUUAAAGGAUCAUCAAGUGGGGUUUAGCUAUUUAAAACAGAAGGUGCAGAAAAAUUGGCAGGAAAAAAACAAGCGAGAUUAGCGAGAUCUAAACUGCCACUAUGACAUGCGGGAUUAGGGGACCUAAAUCAUGCAGGUAGAGCAAAAAAAGGAUUACACGGGAUUAGAGCAUGUACAAUGGUUGAUAAGAUAGUCUUAUCUUAAAUCUUGUAUGUAAUUUAGAGAUGACAAAAAAGAGAGCCUACAAUGGGUCAUCUCUUAGCCUUAUCUUCUAUAAUUAGUUAUUCCUAAAAACAUGAUGAUACAUAUUGUGCUAAGAAAUCACCUCUUGUCUUCUCUUAAAUAAGAGAAGGCAAAAUCUUUUUUUCGAGUUCUCUCUCCUUCACCUCAUGAUUUAUCCUAUGUGACACUCUUAAGAUAGCACCAUUGUACAUGUCCUUAGAGGGAUCUAAAUCAUAUUGGUCCCGCAAGAAAAAGGACGUGAGCGGUUAAGCCACCACGGGAGUUGUCAAGGGACGUGAUCUGCACAAUCCUCAUCCGACACAAAUAUGGCCGUUCGGAUCUGUUGCGAAAAAUCAAAUGGUCGGAAAUUACAAAUUCCCAAACAUAAAAAUGUAAUUUUAGUUAGCAAAAAAAGUCUUAAUACAUGAUGUAGAUGUAAUUAGAUGAUGCAAAUAAUGAUUAUAAGAUACAUGGACAGGGAUCCAGUGACCGGCCUCUGGCCAGUGACGCCCUAACUAGCGGGAAAUCAGCCAUUGGAUAAAGGAUGGACAUACCCGAUCGAACAAUACAGCAAAAAGUCCUGUAGACAACACUCCUGUAGCGAAACCAUUAUAGACGUGUUCCUGUAGAUCGACCACUGUAACACGGAUGAUGAUCACAUAGAUCCGCCCACACAUUUUUGAUCGAUCGAUGUAAAGAGGGAGGCACGUCACCAUACUGUUUACUGGUGACCGGUGACUAGUAAGUCACUGGAUCUCAAUCCAAGAUACAUAUACUCAACCACAGACAACUAUUGAAUAAAUACAAUUGGUGAAGUGCGUUGGGGGGGGGGGGCAAAUGCCUCCUGUCGACUCCAUAAUAGUAUCAUCGUUAUGUUUUGCAGAUCAUGUUUUCUGCAACUUAUUCAGAUGUAUAGAUGUAUUGGGCCCUUAUUUUACAAGCUUGCAGCCAUUAGACGUGAAUUUGAAGAAGACGAAAUGCGAGGCGGAAAAGAUGGCGCUUAUUUGGUUGAUCAAGAGGUGUUCAUCCAUAUCGGUCGUGUUAUCUUGAAUAUCUUUUUGUUCAAUCAUAGUUUUUUUUCUUGUUUGUUGUUGUUUUGAGUAAAUGAUGUUUUAGUCGACUUAUAAAUAAUAUCUCAUCAAGAGAAUACAAACAUCACCCUGCAAAAAAAGAGAGUACAUGCAUAGUCAGGAAUACACACAUGGCAUCUACACCAUAGGAUGCACACAACCAAUACAAAAAUAAGGGGUUUUUUGUCCUUGUUGUCGAGCAAUGUUUUUAUUCUUGAUUUCUUUUUUUGCGCUUUGCAGCAGAAAUUGAAGAACGAAAUUAAUAUUAAUUAUGCACGUUUGGACGGAAAAAAUGUAAGAGCCUUUAUGGCAUGAUUUAGGAUCAUAUCCUCUUGGUUGUUUUUCUUUCUCUUAAUUUUGUUGUUAUUGUUUUUUGUUGCAGGUAACUUUGCUGGCCGUGAGUUGGAGAGAGGACAACUGCCACAUACUUGCAUCUAUCCAAGUCGUGAUGCAACUCUCACCCUCGCUGAGGCAACAUGUCGACAUCGCGCUCACUCGUGGCAGCGAGUGAGUGCAGUGUGAUAACAAACUAUGUUUGUACUCAUGUCGUGUAACUUUCUCGUUCGUAGCUGUUCGAGGAGAAAUGGAGGAAGAAUAUUCCCGAGAUAUUGCGGUUUUACUGUAAAAUGGCAUAUGCUUGAUUCAAUUGCUUGUCGGAUUGCACGUACCAACAAAAAAGCCAUGAGAAAUAGAAGAAUAAAGAGAAGAUGAGCUAUUGUUAUUGGCUUAUUGCGCACAUAUUUUCCUUUUGUGAAAAUCGCACAGAGAAUCAAUUGCAAUGGCGUAUUAUAUUAUUAAUAUUACUUUUACAGAGUUAUUCAUUCAUCAUUUGUAACUACUCUCUCAGUCUCAUAAUAUAAGACGCUUUUAUAGGCUGCUUUAGUUUACAAAAACGUCUUAUAUCAUGAGACGGAGAAAAUAGAUGCGCUGCAAAGUUAUUCCAAGGUGUUUAU